rnacentral:rRNA from 1 species
UACGUAGGGUGCAAGCGUUAAUCGGAAUUACUGGGCGUAAAGCGUGCGCAGGCGGUUAUGUAAGACAGUUGUGAAAUCCCCGGGCUCAACCUGGGAACUGCAUCUGUGACUGCAUAGCUAGAGUACGGUAGAGGGGGAUGGAAUUCCUGGUGUAGCGGUGAAAUGCGCAGAUAUCAGGAAGAACACCCGUGGCGAAAGCGGCUCUCUGAAACGGUACUGACGCUGAGACGCGAAAGCGUGGGGAGCGAACAGG